rnacentral:pre_miRNA from 1 species
CAACUACUCCCUCUGUCCCAAAUUUCUUGUCUUAGAUUUUUCUAGAUACGGAUGUAUCUAAUACUAAAAUGUGACUUGAUACAUCUGUAUCUAGACAAAUCUAAGACAAGAAUUUUGGGACGGAGGGAGUACUUU